GUACAAGCCAAAUUAAGGUGAAACCGCGAAAGGCUCAUUAAAUCAGUUAUGGUUCCUUAGAUCGUACCCACAUUUACUUGGAUAACUGUGGUAAUUCUAGAGCUAAUACAUGCAAACAGAGCUCCGACCGGAGACGGAAGGAGCGCUUUUAUUAGAUCAAAACCAAUCGGUGGCGGGUCCGCUCGUCAUCGUACAUUUUGGUGACUCUGAAUAACUUUUUGCUGAUCGCAAGGUCUAGCACCGGCGACGCAUCUUUCAAAUGUCUGCCUUAUCAACUGUCGAUGGUAGGUUCUGCGCCUACCAUGGUUGUAACGGGUAACGGGGAAUCAGGGUUCGAUUCCGGAGAGGGAGCCUGAGAAACGGCUACCACAUCCAAGGAAGGCAGCAGGCGCGCAAAUUACCCACUCCCGGCACGGGGAGGUAGUGACGAAAAAUAACGAUACGGGACUCAUCCGAGGCCCCGUAAUCGGAAUGAGUACACUCUAAACCCUUUAACGAGGAUCAAUUGGAGGGCAAGUCUGGUGCCAGCAGCCGCGGUAAUUCCAGCUCCAAUAGCGUAUAUUAAAGUUGUUGCGGUUAAAAAGCUCGUAGUCGAAUCUGUGUCCCGCGCCGCCGGUUCAUCGCUCGCGGUGUUCAACUGGCGAGUCGCGGGACGUCCUGCCGGUGGGCUUAGCUCGUUCGCGGGCGGCCCAACUUGACAUCCCACCGCGGUGCUCUUGACUGAGUGUCGAGGUGGGCCGGCACGUUUACUUUGAACAAAUUAGAGUGCUUAAAGCAGGCUAAAAUUUCGCCUGAAUACUGUGUGCAUGGAAUAAUGGAAUAGGACCUCGGUUCUAUUUUGUUGGUAUUCGGAACCCCGAGGUAAUGAUUAAUAGGAACGGAUGGGGGCAUUCGUAUUGCGACGUUAGAGGUGAAAUUCUUGGAUCGUCGCAAGACGGACAGAAGCGAAAGCAUUUGCCAAAAACGCUUUCAUUGAUCAAGAACGAAAGUUAGAGGUUCGAAGGCGAUCAGAUACCGCCCUAGUUCUAACCAUAAACGAUGCCAGCUAGCGAUCCGCCGACGUUCCUCCGAUGACUCGGCGGGCAGCUUCCGG
rnacentral:rRNA from 1 species